UACAGGCAUGAGACACUGUGCCUGACCUAAAAAAAUUUUUUAUUAAAAAAAUAAACUCCUACUUCUGAAAUUCACUAGUGAUAUGAACAAAGUCACAAGGAAUAUACCUCCCACUCUAGCAAACAACAACAAAAGGCCAGAUGAGCUAGAAAAUAAAACAUAUGUUUAAUUCAUCAGAAAGCUAAGGACACAAAGAAAUCUAGGUUGGGUGCAGUGGUUUAUGCCUGUAACCCCAGGACUUUGGGGUGCUGAGGCAGGCAGAUCGCUUGAGCUCAGAAGUUUGAGAUCAGCCUGGGCAACAUGGUAAAACCCUAUCUCAACAAAAAAUACAAAAAUUAGCCGGGUGUGGUGGUACACGCCUGUAGUCCCAGCUGCUCAGGAGGCUGAGGUGGGAGGAUCAACUGAGCCAGGAAGGCAGAGGUUGUAGUGAGCUGAGAUCACUACAGGCUGUACUCCAGGCUGGGUAAGAGUGAGACCCUGUCUCAAAAUAAAAACAAAAACCAAAGAAACCUAAAUGAUCCAAACUCCAGAAAGUGCCAAGUCCUUCAUAGGAGAGAAGAGACCCCCUAGCUGUUGUUAUUCCUAGUUGAACUAUGGUAGGAAGAGGAAUACUACAGGGGGGAGAAAAGAGAAACCUGCUGAAAUUUAACAACAUUUUCACAACCCCUUGGAGGCUGGUUUGACAUUAGAACCUAGAUGACCCAAAUCCACAGAGGAAGGCUUCCCACCAAUCUUACCCCUUAGAUGAUAACCAGGUACAGGAAGGUGUAGUACACUAAAGGUGUGGAUAAUAGAAGGAACGCUGAGAGAGCUUGACUUCUCCCAAGGGCAAAAUACCCUUUAAAAAUGAAAGGGGAGGCAGGAUUGUUGUGAAAUCCAACAGAGGCACUCUUGGAGCCUAAAUGGGGUCAGAAAUGCUGAGAAACCCAUCCCCUAGGCAUUGUGGGCAUUCCUCUACAAAAGGGCAGGGCACACAUGAGAGCUGAGAAAGAUCCUCCUAUCCCCAGCCCAUUGAUUAAAAAAAAAAAUCCUGGCAGCAAGGUUGUAAAGUAGGGAAAGAUCUCCCACAUUGAUAAAAGCUGGUGGCUUAGCUAUGAAGCAAAGUCAGAUCUCUGGAAUCUUGCCAAUGCCCAAAACUCAGGCCCUGGUGAUAUGAGAGUUCUGAUUCUACGUUCCUUCAAAUAUUUGAAGCUAGAGGCAAACUGAAUCAAACUAAAACUGCAGUGAAGCCCCAGUCUAGAAUUCAUAUACAUCAGAUUGAGCCACCAUUCAAGUGGCCUGAAAAAAAAACAAAGGGCAUGCUCUGUUUUGGAAGUAAACAUUUUCUUCAAUUUCUUUUUUUUUUCAACAUAAAACGUCCAUCAUCCAAUCAAAUAUACAAGACGUGCAAAAGCAAGAAAAUAAGAUUCAUGGUAAGGGAGAGGAAGGGCUCAAUAGAAGCAGAACUAGAAAAGACCCAGAUGUUGAAUUAUCAGUUUGGAUCCUUAAAAUAACUGAUUAAAAAUGAAAGAAAAAACAGAAAAAACCCAAUAAAAUAACUGAUUAAAAUGCUAAAAAGUAGAAUGGAAAAUGUGGAAAACAUGCAUGAAGAAAUAGGAAAUUUCAGCAGAAAAUUGUAACUAUACAAAUAUAAUGAAAUGCUAGAAAUAAAAAUAUUAGAAAUGAAUAAUUCAGUACAACUAUGUAUCCAUAAAUAACUAAAAAUAAAAAUUUUUAAAUGGAGAAUUCAAUAAACAAGUUUAACAGGUUAACAUUGGAAAGCAUCAAAAAACUUAAAGAUGGUUAAAUGGAAAGUAUCCAAACUGAAAACAAAAAGAAAACAGGGCAGGGGAAAAAUCAUCUGAGAUCUGUAGGUUUAUAUCAAAUCAUCUAAUAUACAUGUAACUAGAAUCUCCAAAGAAGAGGAGAAGCAAGAGAGUAUGAGACAAGAGAAAAAUGUAAACGGAUAACGGCCAAGAAAGAACCAAUAUUAAUGAAAGACAUCAACACAGAUCCAAGAAGUUCAGUAAACUCUAUACAAAGAAAAACAUACCUAGACAUUCCCUAGUCAAUCUACUGAAAAGUAAAUAUAAUGCACAGAUGCAGCCAUUGAGAACAACCACACAUUACGGAAAGGAAAUAAAAAUUAAAAUGAUGAAUGACUUCUCACCAGAAACAAAUGAGGCCUGAGUACAAUAAAAUAACUUCUUUAAAGUACUGAAAGAAGAAAUAAAAGGUCAACAUAGAGUCCUAUAUCCAACUAAAAUACCCCUCAAAAAUAAAAGUAAGGACAUUCUCUUAUAGACAAAAGCUGAGAGAACUCAUCUCUUAUUAAAAACUGCAGUAGGGCCAGGCGUAGUAGCCCUACUACGCCUAGUGACCUGUAAUCCCAGCACUUUGGGAGGCCAAGGUGGGCAGAUCACCUGAGGCCAGGAGUUCAAGACCAGCCUGGCCAAUAUGGUGAAACCCCGUUUCUACUAAAAAUAUAAAAGUUAGCUGAGCUUGGUGACAUGUGCCUAUAAUCCCACUUACUUGGGAGGCUGAGGCAGGAGAAUCGCUUAAACCUGGGAGGCGGAGGUUGCAGAUUGCACCACUGCACCACAGCCUGGGAGAUAGAGCAAGACUCAGUCUCAAAAAAACAAAAACAAAGAUGAAAAAAAAAAAAAAAAAACAGAAAAAACAAAAAACACUGCAAUAGGCUGGGCACUGUGUCUCAUGCCUGUAAUGCCAACACUUCGGGAGUGCAAGGCAGGAAGAUCACUUGAGCCUAGCAGUUCCAGAUCAAUCUGGGCAACAUAUCAAGACUCCAUGUCUACAAAAAUGAAAAAGAAAAAUUAGCCAGCUGUGGUAGCGCACACCUGUGGUCCCAGCUACUCGGGAGGCUGAGGCAGGAUGAUUGCUGGAGCCAAGAAAGUUGAGGCUGCAGUGAGCCACGUUCAUGCCACCACACUCCAGCCUGCGUGACAGAGACCCUGUCUCAAAACAAAAACAAAAACAGUCCAUGAGAGCCAAGUGUGGUGGCUCACACCUCUAAUCCCAGCACUGUAGGAGGCCAAGGCAGGAGGAUUGCUUGAGGCCAGGAGUUUGAGACCAUCAUGGGCAACACGGCAAGAUCUACAAAAAAUUUCUUAAAUUUGCCUGGUGUGGUGACAUGCACCUGUAUUCCUAGCUACUCAGGAGGCUGAGGCAGGAGGGUCGCUUGAGUCCAGGAGCUCAAGGCUGCAGUGAGCUAUGAUCAUGUCAUUGCACUCCAGCCUGGCAGCCUGAGCAAAAGAGUGAGACUGUCUCUAAAACAGCAACAACAAAACUGUCCAUGGGCUGGAUCUGGCCCAUGGGCCACAGUUUGCCAACCCCUGUAACAUACCAUCUUAACAAAAUAAAAAGAGAAAUACAUAAUAAUCUUAUUAAAAGCUAAAAACGCAUCUCACAAAAUUUAAUAACCCUUCCUAAUAAAAAUUAUCAACAAAUUAGGAAUAGAAAGGAACUUCUUUGGGCUGGUCUGUGAAAAACUUACAGUUAACAUUAUACUUAGUGAUGAAACAUUAAAAUCUUUAUCCCUAAGAUUAAGAAAACAAGGCAAGGUGUCUGCUCUCACCACACGUUAAACAUUGCACUAGAUAUUGUAGCCAGUGGAGAAAGACAAAAAAAAAAAAAAAAAAAAAAAAAAAGAAGAAAAGGCAUAAAAUCAGAAAAAGAAGUAAAAACAUUAUUUGCAGACUACACUGUUGUGUAUCUAUUUAAUAUAAAACUCUACGGAGUCUACAAGAACUAUUUCUAGAAUAAAUGAAUUUAGCAAGGUGGCACGAUUCAAGAUCAGCAUACAAAAAUCAGCCAGGCACACUGGCACGUGAAUAAAGUCCCAGCUACUUGGGUGGCUGAGGCAUGAGAAUCCCUUGAGCUCAGGAGUUUAAGACCAACCUGGGCAACAUAGUGAGACCCAUCUCUAAAGAAACAAACAAAAAAUCAAUUGUAUUUCUAGAUACUAGCAGCAAACAACUUAAAAAUGAAAAUUAGCCAGGCGCGGUGGCUCACGCCUGUAAUGGCAGCACUUUGGGAGGCCAAGGUGGUUGGAUCACGAGGUCAGGAGCUCGAGACCAGGCUGACCAACAUGGUGAAAC
rnacentral:lncRNA from 10 species